UCCAGAUUCCUGACAUGGGGUCAUUCUGCGAUGUCCAGUCUGACUUCCAGCUUCCAACUUCUGAUCCUCUUGCCUUACUUUCCUGAGUACUGGAAUUCUAGAUUGCAUUCUUACCCAAAUGUCUUCGUGAAUGCCUGCUUUGCAGCUUGGUGAAACUGCCAAGAAGGACAUGGAUCUCCAAGAAAAGAAGCUUGGAUUAUGAGAAGACCAUCAUGAUAUCAAUUGCAGUGUCAGUAACAUAUUUAUCAUGCAAGAUUGUUAUACAGAUGAA